UUAUAGUACUGGGGAAUAAAAUAAAAAUGAGAUCAUUAGACCCAUGUUUAUGUCAUGGCUCUAUAUCUAGAAAGGGUAUGUUUUAAUCUGCCUUUAGCAUCGCGCUUUCCUGGUGCUCGCAACUCCUAAUUAAUAGCGUAACUGCCAACCCGAAGCCGGGUUUUUUUUGGAUCCUGCAAAUAAUGAUACUGUACAUUGAGCAUGGAUCAUUGAAGCUUGUGUAAAAGACAUCGCGCAGAUAGGUUAUGUGGGAGUCCAUGGAACGGAUGUGGAUAGUUCGCAGCUGUUAUUCGAACGGUACCAGCGCCAGACGUUCUAUUGGCCAUCGGUGCAGUCCCCGUAUAUUUUAUGAUUAGGCACAUGGGAAGCGCUUUUCCGCUCGCUGAAGGAGAGCGCCUUAAAAAGGCAAAGGUUUCCUUGUAUCGAGCAGUCUCACGAACGACCGGCAACACACCUCAACAUUAAUCAUUGAAAAUGAAAAGGGAUUACCGCCAGGAAACACAGGAACAAAAGAAAAAAAUGGCUGAAGUUUUGAUUCCCAACUCACGAAAGCCGGAAGGUCUCGACUUUUUGACAUUUGCAUAAUUCAACAACAUGUUGUUCAGACACCCUAGAUACAAGGUGAAGAACUGCAGAUGCUGGAAUUUUCAAUGAAACACAAAGUACUGGAGUAACUCA